rnacentral:rRNA from 1 species
UUGAGCGAUUUACUUCGGUAAAGAGCGGCGGACGGGUGAGUAACGCGUGGGUAACCUCCCCUGUACACACGGAUAACAUACCGAAAGGUAUGCUAAUACGGGAUAAUAUAUUUGAGAGGCAUCUCUUGAAUAUCAAAGGUGAGCCAGUACAGGAUGGACCCGCGUCUGAUUAGCUAGUUGGUAAGGUAACGGCUUACCAAGGCGACGAUCAGUAGCCGACCUGAGAGGGUGAUCGGCCACAUUGGAACUGAGACACGGUCCAAACUCCUACGGGAGGCAGCAGUGGGGAAUAUUGCACAAUGGGCGAAAGCCUGAUGCAGCAACGCCGCGUGAGGGAUGAAGGCCUUCGGGUCGUAAAACUCUGUCCUCAAGGAAGAUAAUGACGGUACUUGAGGAGGAAGCCCCGGCUAACUACGUGCCAGCAGCCGCGGUAAUACGUAGGGGGCUAGCGUUAUCCGGAUUUACUGGGCGUAAAGGGUGCGUAGGCGGUCUUUCAAGUCAGGAGUGAAAGGCUACG